rnacentral:rRNA from 1 species
UAGGGAAUCUUCGGCAAUGGACGAAAGUCUGACCGAGCAACGCCGCGUGAGUGAAUAAGGUUUUCGGAUCGUAAAACUCUGUUGUUAGAGAAGAACAAGGACGUUAGUAACUGAACGUCCCCUGACGGUAUCUAACCAGAAAGCCACGGCUAACUACGUGCCAGCAGCCGCGGUAAUACGUAGGUGGCAAGCGUUGUCCGGAUUUAUUUGGCUUAAAGCGAGCGCAGGCGGUUUCUUAAGUCUGAUGUGCAAGCCCCCGGCUCAACCGGCGUGGGUCAUUUGUAACUAGGAGACUUGUGUGCAAAAGAGGAGAGUGGAAUUCCAUGUGUAGCGGUGAAAUGCUUAGUUAUAUGGCGGUACACCAGUUGCGAAGUCGGCUCUCUGGUCUGUAACUGACGCUGAGGCUCGCGAGCGUGGGGAGCAAACAGG